rnacentral:rRNA from 1 species
GACGAACGCUGGCGGCGUGCUUAACACAUGCAAGUCGAACGGAAAGGCCCUGCUUUUGUGGGGUGCUCGAGUGGCGAACGGGUGAGUAACACGUGAGUAACCUGCCCUUGACUUUGGGAUAACUUCAGGAAACUGGGGCUAAUACCGGAUAGGAGCUCUUGCUGCAUGGUGGGGGUUGGAAAGUUUCGGCGGUUGGGGAUGGACUCGCGGCUUAUCAGCUUGUUGGUGGGGUAGUGGCUUACCAAGGCUUUGACGGGUAGCCGGCCUGAGAGGGUGACCGGCCAUAUUGGGACUGAGAUACGGCCCAGACUCCUACGGGAGGCAGCAGUGGGGAAUAUUGCACAAUGGGCGGAAGCCUGAUGCAGCAACGCCGCGUGCGGGAUGACGGCCUUCGGGUUGUAAACCGCUUUCGCCUGUGACGAAGCGUGAGUGACGGUAAUGGGUAAAGAAGCACCGGCUAACUACGUG